rnacentral:rRNA from 1 species
AUUGAACGCUGGCGGCAGGCCUAACACAUGCAAGUCGAGCGGAGCGGCGGACGGGUGCGUAAUGCCUAGGACUCUGCAAGGUAGUGGGGGAUAACGACCGGAAAUGGGCGCUAAUACCGCUUACUAUCAGAUGAGGCUAUGCCGGAAUAGCUUGUUGGUGGGGUAAAGGCAUACCACGGCGACGAUCCGUAACUGGUCUGUGAGGAGGAUCAGUCACACUGGAACUGCGACACGUUCCGAACUCCUACGGGAGGCAGCCGUGGGGAAUAUUGGACAAUGGGCGAAAGCCUGAUCCAGCCAUGCCGCGUGUGUGAAGAAGGUCUUCGGAUUGUAAAGUACUUUAAGUUGGGAGGCGUUACCAGCAGAAUAAGCACCGGCUAACUUCGUGCCAGCAGCCGCGGUAAUAC